rnacentral:rRNA from 1 species
AGCAGCCGCGGUAAUUCCAGCUCCAAUAGCGUAUAUUAAAGUUGUUGCAGUUAAAAGCUCGUAGUUGAAUUUCGGGGUCAGUAGGUUGGUCAUGCCACUGGUAUGUACUGGUCUCACUGAUUCCUCCUUCCUGAUGAGCCGUAAUGCCAUUAAUUUGGUGUUGCGAGGAAUCUGGACUGUUACUUUGAAAAAAUUGAGUGUUUAAAGCAGGCUAACGCUUGAAUACAUUAGCAUGGAAUAAUGAAAUAGGACGUUCGAUCUUAUUUUGUUGGUUUCUAAGAUUGACGUAAUGAUUAAUAGGGAUAGUUGGGGGCAUUAGUAUUCAAUUGUCAGAGGUGAAAUUCUUGGAUUUAUUGAAGACUAACUACUGCGAAAGCGUUUGCCAAGGAUGUUUUCAUUAAUCAAGAACGAAAGUUAGGGGAUCGAAGACGAUCAGAUACCGUCGUAGUCUUAACCAUAAACUAUGCCGACUAGGGAUCGGAUGAUGUUAAUUUUUUAAUGACUCAUUC